AGCGAACGCUGGCGGCAGGCUUAACACAUGCAAGUCGAGCGGGCAUCCUUGUGGUGUCAGCGGCAGACGGGUGAGUAACGCGUGGGAACGUGCCCUUCGGUUCGGAAUAACUCAGGGAAACUUGAGCUAAUACCGGAUACGUGCGAGAGCAGAAAGGUUUAUCUGCCGAAGGAUCGGCCCGCGUCUGAUUAGCUAGUUGGUGAGGUUAUGGCUCACCAAGGCGACGAUCAGUAGCUGGUCUGAGAGGAUGAUCAGCCACACUGGGACUGAGACACGGCCCAGACUCCUACGGGAGGCAGCAGUGGGGAAUAUUGGAAAAUGGGGGCAACCCUGAUCCAGCCAUGCCGGGUGAGUGAUGAAGGCCUUAGGGUUGUAAAGCUCUUUUAUCCGGGACGAUAAUGACGGUACCGGAGGAAUAAGCCCCGGCUAACUUCGUG
rnacentral:rRNA from 1 species